CACGCCCGCCGAAGCGCCGAGGUGUCCAAGCCGGUGUGCGGUGGUCCCCGCCGCUAGGCGAUCCCGGAGCGACAGUCCUUAGGGUUGCGCCUCUCCGCCCGGAGUCGCCCUCCCAGUCAUCGCCCGUCUCCCUCAAAGCGCCACGGUCCCUCCUGCAAAUGGAUCUGGAGCUCCGGAACCUGAAAUUCUGGGAGGCCGAGAGGGAGCAGAGACCUUCAGUCUUCCUGGAGAGGAUUCUCAAGAGCUUGGAGCUAUAAAGGCAUCAGAGAUUUCAAAAGGCAGCAAACAAAAUAGAAGCUUCAGAAAUCGAUGUGUUGAUUCAGUUUAUGGCUGAACUCCUAGAUUUCAUGUAUUCAGGAGCACGAUUCUGGAUAUCGGACAGAGUCCAGUGGCUGAGAGGCUGAAACUUGAGUGGAUGCACUCUAUCUACAUCACGUAGUUCUGAGGUACUGAAGUUUGGCUACAGCCAGAAUGAAAAGACUUUAGUGAAUCCUCAGCACAUUUGGUUGAGAUGACCUGAAAGAUACUCCCUGGUUGUGAAGAUGAGGCUCUAAGAGAAAUGAUAACCAGAGAAAGAUUUGUCCUAAAGAAACUAAAGCUGCAUGUUUAUGGGUUCAAGGUGAUCCAUUAUGAUCUAACCACCUGCGGACCACAUCUCAAAGUUCAUGAGAGGAAGAAAGCAGGUUAGAAUCUCUACAGCUGAAACAAGCAUUCAAAAUUUACUCGAUGCUCAAAGAAGAAAAGAGUAACCACUAACUGCCCACAAUAAAACAUAGGGGCAAACAUAUGAUCUAAAUGUUGGAACUGGUAUGUAACAGAAUCUAAACAAACUGAGGAUUAAAGUUAUUUGAACCACCAUAGAAGCAGGCAAAAUGAAAAAAAAACAGAGCAUUUCAGAGUAAUGUUAGAACCUACAGAACAAAAUCAGGGGCUGGAGGUUUAACUCAGCUCUGAGCCUGUGCUUGUGGUGCUGACUUCAAUCACACCACUAAAAAAACUCAAAUUUUUUGAAUUCCUAAGUCAAACUAUAAGCAAAUGAGUUUGAAAGAUAUUUCAAUGAAACAGAAGAUAAGGCUAAUGGCCUCAGAUGAAAAUCAAUAUAAAAUAUACAGAAUUAGGAGGAAGCAAGAUGUAAUAUUUGAAGAAAUAAAUACCAGAUUUUCAUAGCUGGUGAAAGAAUUAGCCAAGAAAUUCAAGAAAGUAGAUAAACCAUAAGGACAGAAUACAGUAAGUAGGUCUAUGAAAACAAAACAGAAAACAGAAAAAGCUAAAAAGAGCCACAAAGAAGUAAGAGAAAUAUUGCCUGUCAAAUAUAAUGGUGAAAAAUAGUCUGGGUGCAAUGACUCACGCCUGUCAUCCUAGCACUCUUGGAGGCCGAAACAGGAGGGUCACAAGGUUGGACCCGGGUUUUGCAAUUUGACAAUUCAGCAAGACCUUCAGUAAAAUUAAAGAAAAGACUGAGUUUUUAGAUCAGGGGGAAGACCUUAGGUUCAAUUUCCAGUACCAUAAUAAAGAGUGUAAAACAAAUGAGAAAUUGAGUAGAAAAAAAAAGAGACAGAAAAUUCAUACCAUGGACACACUAAACAUUUUAAGGUAGUGUGUCUGCUCCAAAUGUUAUCUCAAUCACAAUCCCAGAUAUGUGAAGUGAUCCUGGAUACGUGAGGUGAUUUUCCCUUGAUGUGAGUGGUGGUUACGAAAGUGAUAUGAUUAUGUGUUACAGAGAGAUAUUUUGGUGAUGGUGCCCCUCAUACGAUUACAUUGCUUAGUAAUGUAGUGAUCUUCUUAGUUUGUGUAAGUAAGUAUAUUGUUUGCCAAAUAAUGAAAUCACCUAACAACACAUUUUGUUAUAAACAAUACCCUUCAGGAUAUGUAAAAUUCAUCAAACUGCACAUUUAAAAUGUGUACACAUUUCUGUGUAUAUAAUAUAUUCCAAAUUUUAAAAAUUAUCUCUAAGUAUCUGGUUGACACAGAGCACUAAUAACCAGAUAAAAUGGCAAACACACACUCAAGUCAUAAACUCUUGCUGUCACACAUGAGGACAUCUGCCUCAUCUAAAGUUCAUGUAAAAAACUUUUGAGGUGGAGAAUUGUGCAAGUUUCUUUGCACCAAGAAAAAAGAAGUGGUAAACUUAUUGUACAGAAUCACAGUUCCUCAACCAAGAAUAAAUCAACUGACAUUCAUUUGUUUUUCAGGCAUGCAUUCAUUUACUCAUUUAAAGUACUCAUUGAAUUUUGCUGUUUGUCAUUAGUAGGUGGAACCCUAGGGAGUCUAAGACACCAAUGAAUAGUUAAAGAAUGGAACUCUUCUUGUAAGAAAGACUUAGAGGACCUGAAUUAUGCUUUCAGGCUUUUGAAGAGAAUGUUAAUAAAUUAUGUAGCUCUAGAGGAUGCUAUGGGUACCUAGGCUUCAAGUCUUGAUAGAGAAGACCAUAUUUAACCCUUAAAAUGUGCCUAUUUGACUGGAGAAGUGUUGAGAUUUUCAUUUCUGGAAACACUUAAGUAUAGAACAAAUAAUAUUAGCAAUUACUUUUGAUCCCACAUUUUUAUUGGGUAAAGAGUUAUGCACUUUGUAUUUAUAAUGAGUACCUUAAUCAAGAAAUUCAUAUUACUGUCUUUUGGUGAUAGGGAAGCUGGACAAACAAUACAGCAAAACCCAAACACAGCUGGGAAUUCCUCUCUUUUAGAUGACAAUUUAAAACAUAGUGUUGCUAGAACUAUUUCUUGUAAUGUUGGAAGGCACAUGUGAGCAUCUAAGAUCUUUCCCAAUUCUAGGAUGUAAAUUUAUCCAGUAUACAUGGUUGGGCAUUGGUUUUGGGAAAUAUUAUAUUUAUAAAUGCUAAAAUAGGCACAAAAACUUAGAACGAGGCUCUGAAGUUGGAUUUUAUUCACUUCCUAGUUAAUCAGCUCCUGUCUAUUGAUCAUAAAUGCCUUUAGAAGGGAGCUGCUAAUAAAAGGUUCCUCCAGAAGGGUGUGGAAAAUGGACAUGACAGCUGCCUCUGCUCUGUGACAGCCCGAGAGCUAACAGGGAGCCUAUGUCAGCACACUUGUACAAUCACCUAAGACAACAGUGGGAGAAGUCCAUGAUUAAGUAAUGGGAAAGAUGUCAGUAAUCCUAUGUAACCUUUUCUCUUUGGUUUCCUUUGCCUCUCUCCUUUCUUUUUCUUCUCCUUUUCUCCUUUUCUCCUGUCCUCCCUUCUCCCCUCCCCUCUCCUCUCCUCCCCUCCUAUCCCCUCCUCUCCCCUCCCCUCUCCUCUCCUCCCCUCCUAUUCCCUCCUCUCCCCUCUCCUCUCCUUUCCUCCCCUCCCCUCUCCUCUCCUCUCCUCCUUUCUCCCCUCCUCUCCUUUCUUCUCCACUCUUCAUCUCUUAUCUUCUCUUCCUUUCCCUUCACUUUCUUCUCUUCUCUAUUUUGUAUUUGUGGUACUGGGGAUUAAACCAAGGACCUCAGCACUGAACCACCUACCCAGUCAUUUUUAAUUUUCAGACAGGAUCAUAGUAAAUUACUAAGUUUUCCAGUUUAGGCUAGAACAUGGGAUCCUUCUGUCUCAGUCUCCCGGAAUAUGUGAGUACCAAUACAUCUGUCUCUCUGUGUUUGUUUAAUUUGUUUUGUUUUUCCUACCAAUGCUCAGUGUUGGAAUCUGGAAAACCUGGAGCAUUGAUCCCUUUCUUUCCUUCUCUUGUGCUCUCCUGGGAACACACAGAUCUUGGUCAUGUUUCUGUUUCUCUGUGUUGUAUACUGCGGCAAUUACAGCUAUUAAAAGGUUUCCACAAUGCAAA